UACGUAGGGUGCAAGCGUUGUCCGGAAUUAUUGGGCGUAAAGAGCUCGUAGGCGGUCUGUCGCGUCUGCUGUGAAAACUCGGGGCUUAACCCCGGGCCUGCAGUGGGUACGGGCAGACUAGAGUGCGGUAGGGGAGACUGGAAUUCGUGGUGUAGCGGUGAAAUGCGCAGAUAUCAGGAGGAACACCGGUGGCGAAGGCGGGUCUCUGGGCCGUAACUGACGCUGAGGAGCGAAAGCAUGGGGAGCGAACAGG
rnacentral:rRNA from 1 species